UACGAAGGGGGCUAGCGUUGCUCGGAAUUAUCUGGGCGUAAAGCGCACGUAGGCGGAUUCUUAAGUCAGGCGUGAAAGCCCCGAGCUUAACUCGGGAACUGCGCUUGAUACUGUCGAGCUAGAGUGUGGAAGGGGCGAUUGGAAAUUUCCGUGUGUAGCGGUGAAAUGCGUAGAUAUAACGGGAGGAACACCAGAGGCGAAGGCGGAUCGCUGGGCCAAACACUGACGCUGAUGCGCGAAAAGCUAGGGGAGCAAAACGGG
rnacentral:rRNA from 1 species